rnacentral:rRNA from 1 species
UACGUAGGAUGCAAGCGUUGUCCGGAUUUACUGGGCGUAAAGCGCGCGCAGGCGGCACUCUAAGUACGUCGUGAAAUAUCCCGGCUCAACCGGGAGGGUGCGAUGUAGACUAGGGAGCUAGAGGUCGGUAGAGGGGGGUGGAAUUGCUGGUGUAGCGGUGAAAUGCGUAGAUAUGCGGAGGAACACCGAUGGCGAAGGCAAUCCCCUGGACCUGUACUGACGCUCAUGCACGAAAGCGUGGGGAGCAAACAGG